rnacentral:tRNA from 23 species
GCGGGUGUAGUUCAAUGGUAGAACUCCAGCCUUCCAAGCUGAUUGCGUGGGUUCGAUUCCCAUCACCCGCUCCA